rnacentral:misc_RNA from 1 species
GACGGUUCGGAAUUAAUUGGAAUGAGCCUUGGUAUGGAAACCUAUUAAGUGAUAACUUUCAAAUUCAGGGAAACCCCGGAAUUAAAAAAAAUGGGCAAUCCUGAGCCAAAUCCUGUUUUCUCAAAAGACAGGUUCAGAAACCGAAAAAAAAAAAAGGAUAGGUCCAGAGACUCAAUGGAAGCUGUUCUAGCAAAUGGGGGCAGGAAUCUUUCCACCUAAACAUCAGAAAGGAUCCUAUCUAUUGAAUACUAUAUCAAAUGAGUAAUGAUGUCCCGAAUCUCUAGAUGUAUUUUUUUAUAUGAAAAUUGGUGUGAAUUCAUUCGACAUUGAAGAAAAACUCGAAUUUUUAUUCAUCAAAUCAUUCCCUCCAUAGUCCGAUAAACCUUUUCAAGAACUGAUCAAUCGGACAAGAAUAAAGAUAGAGUCCCCUUCUACAUGUCAAUACCGACAGCAAUUUAAUUUAUAGUAAGAGGAAAAUCCGUUGACUUUUAAAAUCGUGAGGGUUCAAGUCCCUCUAUCCCCAAACAAGCCUAUUUUACUCCCAAAAUCUUUAUCCUACCCUCCCCCGUUCGGUUCCAAAUUGCUUUCUUUUUCUGAUUCUUUGACAAACGAAACGUAGGUGGACAUAAAUGACUUUCUCUUCGCCGAUGUGAUAUAGAAUACACAUCCAAAUUUAGCAAAGAAUACCGAUUUAAAUGAUUCAACAUCAAAAGUACUUGGAGAAAAAUUUGUAAUCUCCCCUUUCCCUUUAAUUGACAUAGACCCCAGACAGAAAAAAAAAUAAUAAAAUGAGUAUGGGUUGCUACGCUGGGAAUGGUCGGGAUAGCUCAGC